AGACAAGCUCUGGAAUUUGUCUGCUUUCUCUGCUCCCUGAUCCGCUGAGAUAUGAACAAGCAGCCCUCUGUUCCUGAUGCCACAGCCGCACGUCUCGCACUUCCGUGCUUCCUUUAUGGAAUGGAUAACACCCUCGAAUCAUGAGCCAAAGAAGACGCCAGAAGCUUGCUGGGAGAGCACUGUUCCCUGACCUACAUGAAAACCUGUAGUGACUGAGCAUGAGUUAAAGCAGAAGGAGGUG
rnacentral:lncRNA from 1 species